GAGCACAAGUACUAAGGGCUAAACCCACCUGAUAUGCCACAAGUCAUAUUAUAAAUUUAAGGGAAGAUUUUACCAGCAGACUAGAGGGGACCCAAUAGGAAGCCCGAUGGCUGGGCUGUUGUAGAGAUAGUCCUUAGGGAAGUUGAAAAUCAAAGACUGCAUGCUUUUGAGUCAGAUCUUAAGUUUUACAUUAGAUAUGUAGAUGACAUAAUGACUAUAUGGGGGGAGCAGCACCAGGAUGGACGAACUGUCAAAAGCAUUUACACUAAAGGCAUGCAGUCUUACUCUAAAGAAGGAGCAAGUUAGCAGUGAAGUGAUACACUUCCUGGACAUCAGCAUAACUAUAGAGAAUGCUAAGAUAAAAACAGCAGUUUACAGGAAACCUACUUACAAGCCCAUAAUAAUACCUCCUAACUGGUCCAAUGACCUGCUGACAUAUAAGAAUGACAUAAUGACUAUAUGAGUCUUUCAGGUAUUUCUUCAGAAGAGCUCUAUUAUACAGUAUGGAUCUGCAAGAUUUGGAGAAAGAAAUGAGUUACAUCAUCAACACCGUGCACCAACAUGGAUAUGGAAACCAAUUUUUACAAAGUACCUACCAAAUGGUUUAGAAAGCACUUAUCGAGAAGCCUAAUAAUGACACUCAAAUAAGUCAGCAACCAUCCCACAAGGCAAAUACAUAACAAUACCAUAUGCUCUUAAGUGGCUUACUUUCACAAAGAAUAUAGUAAGACAAGCUAAGAAAAAGCUAGCAUUCCACAGAGCACUGACUGUGUUUAAUAUGCUAAGAAACGAGAAGGACCCUAGGAGGGACAACAAAAAGCAAGGUAUCUACAUAAUAUUGAUAGAAAACCUGGAAACACACCAAUGAGCAUCCUAUAUAGGAAUGACAACUAGAUCCUUGGCUCAAAGAAUAGAGGAGCAUAAAAACAACAUUGUCAAUGGAAAAUUAACCACGGCCUUAUCUACCAAAGCUUGCAGCACCAACAUAAAGAUAGAAUGGAAUAAGGCAAACAUAAUAAGGCCAAUAACUAAGAAAUCUCAAGUUUUAAUGAUAGAAACAUUAGAAUUAAUGAAAAGACAAGGGAAAGAACUACUACUGAAUGACAGUGCUAUGCUGAUGGUAGUUCAACAGCUGACCAAUGUCCUUGAGGCUUGGAGAAAUGGCUUAUUAAAAUAAUAACAAAGCAAGGAACAAUGAUGCUUAACCAAGUAUAGAUCCAGGUGCCAUAGCAACUAUGUUUUAUGUGCAAUGGAUGUCUAUCCACAGCAGUUCAUAUUAAUUCUGUAUAUAUGUUUUUUUGUUAUGACUUUAUGUAUUUAUUUAUUUAUUUUAAUUUCGAUUUUUAUUUUAUUCAAUACAUAUUUUUUAUUUUAUUUACUUUGUUAAUCUACU
rnacentral:lncRNA from 1 species